GGCUUCGUAGCUCGGCUGGCAGAGCACUUGCCACGUAGAGGCAUGUUGUUUCUGUCGCUGGUUCGAAUCCAUCCGAAGCCC
rnacentral:tRNA from 1 species